AGAGUUUGAUCCUGGCUCAGGAUGAACGCUGGCGGCGUGCCUAACACAUGCAAGUCGAGCGAAGCACUUUACUUUGAUUCUUCGGAUGAAGAGUGAUUUGACUGAGCGGCGGACGGGUGAGUAACGCGUGGGUAACCUGCCUCACACAGGGGGAUAACAGUUAGAAAUGACUGCUAAUACCGCAUAAGGCCACAGCACCGCAUGGUGCAGGGGUAAAAACUCCGG
rnacentral:rRNA from 1 species